rnacentral:tRNA from 1 species
ACUCUUUUAGUAUAAUUAGUACAGUUGACUUCCAAUCAAUUAGCUUCAGCCUAAGUCUGAAAAAGAGUA